UACAGAGGUCUCAAGCGUUGUUUCGGAUUCAUUGGGCGUAAAGGGUGUGUAGGUGGCGCCGUAAGUCGGGUGUGAAAUUUUCGGAGCUUAACUCCGAAACUGCAUUCGAUACUGCGGUGCUUGAGGACUGGAGAGGAGACUGGAAUUCAUGGUGUAGCAGUGAAAUGCGUAGAGAUCAUGAGGAAGACCAGUGGCGAAGGCGGGUCUCUGGGACAGUUCCUGACACUGAGACACGAAGGCCAGGGGAGCAAACGGG
rnacentral:rRNA from 1 species